ACUGACCAUCUGAUGAAUACUGCACACAAAAAUGCCAAGAAAUUGCAAGACCUAAUUCAUUUCUGAACAAAAGACUCUGCUAGUAAUGUUAGUAAUGUAGGUUACAUUACUGACCCAGUUCAGCAUUGCAAAAAGGAGCCAUGGGUACAG